ACAUUUUCACUACUCCUCUGAACAUUGUGCCUGAGUUUUCUAUCCCCUUUUUCUCCGUUUGCUUUACAUGUACACAACCUGAUAUUUCAAAUUUCAAAUUUUGAAUUCAAAAUCAAAAUUAAAAAGGGAAUUCUCUCCAUUCUUUGUUUUCAGUUUUAUUUCUUCCUCCUCUUCUUCGGUUCUUCUCCUUCACCUUCUUCACCUUCAGUUCCUCUUCCUUUUUUCCUCCUCCGUUCACUAAUUCUGUUUUUGUAUAAUCUUCUUAAUUUAAGUUGGAGGUGGAGAUUAGACGUCAUGUACGCACCAAGGCAGAGUUACGGCAGUGGAUGAGGUUGCGACCGCUAUGGUGGUGGAUCAUAAUAUGGCGGUGGUGUUGUAGUGGGUGCAGUGGAGUUUGUGGUGGUUAUCGAGGAUGUGGUGAUGGAUACGAAGGAGGCAGCGGCGGAAGAGAGCAAAUCGAUGGAAAGUACUAAGUCGCACGGCCACAUAGAACACAUGGACACUAUGAAAGAGAGCACAACAGGGAAGUAGAGGAAUGAAGUAGAGACACGACAUGGAGGAGCGAGAGAUGCAUACUGGCGUCGACAACAAUGGGCAUGCAAUUUGGUGCGGCUGAGAUGAUUCGGAUGGCGAUAACACGGCACGGAAGAGAAGUCAGUUGCAGCACCGGAAGCGACCAGCAACGGUCUUGGUGCGAUGAUUCUGUAUGCUCUGCUUAUACGCGUCUUUGUCUGGUGUGGAGCUGUUGAUGCAGAAAAUCCAGAACCUCAUUGUUGUUGCCGGGAUUCUAUUUGCAUUUCGCCUAAAUUUCAUUAACCUCUUUC